GUCCAUGCCGUAAACGUUGGGCGCUAGGUGUGGGGCUCAUUCCACGAGUUCCGUGCCGCAGCUAACGCAUUAAGCGCCCCGCCUGGGGAGUACGGCCGCAAGGCUAAAACUCAAAGGAAUUGACGGGGGCCCGCACAAGCGGCGGAGCAUGCGGAUUAAUUCGAUGCAACGCGAAGAACCUUACCAAGGCUUGACAUGGGGUGAAAACUCGCAGAGAUGCGGGGUCCGCAAGGGCGCCUCACAGGUGGUGCAUGGUUGUCGU
rnacentral:rRNA from 1 species